rnacentral:tRNA from 1 species
UUCCCGGUUGCUCAGAGGUUAAAGCGUCUGUCUCCAAUGCGAAAAAACCCAGGUUCAAUCCUGAGUCGGGAAG